GUUUGAUCCUGGCUCAGAUUGAACGCUGGCGGCAUGCCUUACACAUGCAAGUCGAACGGUAACAGGUCUUCGGAUGCUGACGAGUGGCGAACGGGUGAGUAAUACAUCGGAACGUGCCCAGUAAUGGGGGAUAGCUCGGCGAAGGCCGGAUUAAUACCGCAUACGCCCUGAGGGGGAAAGUGGGGGAUCGCAAGACCUCACGUUAUUGGAGCGGCCGAUGGCUGAUUAGCUAGUUGGUAGGGUAAAGGCCUACCAAGGCGACGAUCAGUAGCUGGUCUGAGAGGACGAUCAGCCACACUGGGACUGAGACACGGCCCAGACUCCUACGGGAGGCAGCAGUGGGGAAUUUUGGACAAUGGGGGAAACCCUGAUCCAGCAAUGCCGCGUGUGCGAAGAAGGCCUUCGGGUUGUAAAGCACUUUUGUCAGGGAAGAAAUCCUUUGGGCUAAUACCCUAGGGGGAUGACGGUACCUGAAGAAUAAGCACCGGCUAACUACGUGCCAGCAGCCGCGGUAAUACGUAGGGUGCAAGCGUUAAUCGGAAUUACUGGGCGUAAAGCGUGCGCAGGCGGUUGUGUAAGACAGGUGUGAAAUCCCCGGGCUUAACCUGGGAAUUGCAUUUGUGACUGCACGACUAGAGUGUGUCAGAGGGGGGUGGAAUUCCACGUGUAGCAGUGAAAUGCGUAGAUAUGUGGAGGAACACCAAUGGCGAAGGCAGCCCCCUGGGAUAAACACUGACGCUCAUGCACGAAAGCGUGGGGGAGCAAACAGGAUUAGAUACCCUGGUAGUCCACGCCCUAAACGAUGUCACUAGUUGUUGGGAUUUACUUCCUUGGUAACGUAGCUAACGCGUGAAG
rnacentral:rRNA from 1 species